rnacentral:misc_RNA from 1 species
AAACAUCCAUCAAAGCUUUUGCUUUGCAUUGGACUGUCACAUUGACGUUAUGGUUCAGUUGUGCAGUUCUAAGUUCUGUUGACUGAGUUACUGGUCUUUCAACUCUUGGGAUUUUUACAUAGUCCUGGGUUGGCUGGCACAACAGUUACAGUCUGACAGAGUUGGACAGAGUAAUUCUCUCUCUCUGACCACACAACCUACUUUUU